UACAGAGGGGGCAAGCGUUGUUCGGAAUUACUGGGCGUAAAGGGCGCGUAGGCGGCCUUCUAAGUCGAACGUGAAAUCCCUGGGCUCAACCCAGGAACUGCGUCCGAUACUGGGAGGCUUGAAUCCGGGAGAGGGAUGUGGAAUUCCAGGUGUAGCGGUGAAAUGCGUAGAUAUCGUGAGGAAUACCAGAGGCGAAGGCGGCUACCUGGACAAUUGCUGACGCUCAGGCACGAAAGCGUGGGGAGCAAAAGGG
rnacentral:rRNA from 1 species